rnacentral:rRNA from 1 species
UAAGGAAUAUUAGUCAAUGGACGCAAGUCUGAACCAGCCAUGCCGCGUGAAGGAAGACGGCCCUACGGGUUGUAAACUUCUUUUGUACGGGAAAAGAUCUCCGGUCGUGAAUCGGAGCUGAUGGUACCGUAAGAAUAAGCAUCGGCUAACUCCGUGCCAGCAGCCGCGGUAAUACGGAGGAUGCAAGCGUUAUCCGGAUUCAUUGGGUUUAAAGGGUGCGCAGGCGGAUUAAUAAGUCAGUGGUGAAAUCCUACGGCUCAACUGUAGAACUGCCAUUGAUACUGUUAGUCUUGAGUAUUGUUGAGGUAGGCGGAAUGUGUCAUGUAGCGGUGAAAUGCUUAGAUAUGACACAGAACACCAAUCGCGAAGGCAGCUUACCAAGCAAUAACUGACGCUCAUGCACGAAAGCGUGGGGAUCAAACA